rnacentral:rRNA from 1 species
UACGGGGGGGGCAAGCGUUGUUCGGAAUUACUGGGCGUAAAGGGCUCGUAGGCGGCCAACUAAGUCGGAUGUGAAAUCCCCAGGCUUAACCUGGGAACUGCAUCCGAUACUGGAUGGCUUGAAUCCGGGAGAGGGAUGCAGAAUUCCAGGUGUAGCGGUGAAAUGCGUAGAUAUCUGGAGGAAUACCGGUGGCGAAGGCGGCAUCCUGGACCGGCAUUGACGCUGAGGAGCGAAAGCUAGGGGAGCGAACAGG